rnacentral:rRNA from 1 species
GCUGGCGGCGUGCCUAAUACAUGCAAGUCGAGCGAACGGACGAGAAGCUUGCUUCUCUGAUGUUAGCGGCGGACGGGUGAGUAACACGUGGAUAACCUACCUAUAAGACUGGGAUAACUUCGGGAAACCGGAGCUAAUACCGGAUAAUAUUUUGAACCGCAUGGUUCAAAAGUGAAAGACGGUCUUGCUGUCACUUAUAGAUGGAUCCGCGCUGCAUUAGCUAGUUGGUAAGGUAACGGCUUACCAAGGCAACGAUGCAUAGCCGACCUGAGAGGGUGAUCGGCCACACUGGAACUGAGACACGGUCCAGACUCCUACGGGAGGCAGCAGUAGGGAAUCUUCCGCAAUGGGCGAAAGCCUGACGGAGCAACGCCGCGUGAGUGAUGAAGGUCUUCGGAUCGUAAAACUCUGUUAUUAGGGAAGAACAUAUGUGUAAGUAGCUGUGCACAUCUUGACGGUACCUAAUCAGAAGGCCACGGCUAACUACGUGCCAGCAGCCGCGGUAAUACGUAGGUGGCAAGCGUUAUCCGGAAUUAUUGGGCGUAAAGCGCGCGUAGGCGGUUUUUUAAGUCUGAUGUGAAAGCCCACGGCUCAACCGUGGAGGGUCAUUGGAAACUGGAAAACUUGAGUGCAGAAGAGGAAAGUGGAAUUCCAUGUGUAGCGGUGAAAUGCGCAGAGAUAUGGAGGAACACCAGUGGCGAAGGCGACUUUCUGGUCUGUAACUGACGCUGAUGUGCGAAAGCG